rnacentral:rRNA from 1 species
UACGUAGGGGGCGAGCGUUGUCCGGAUUUAUUGGGCGUAAAGCGCGCGCAGGCGGCUUCGCGCGCCCGACGUGAAAGCCCCCGGCUUAACCGGGGAGAGUCGUUGGGGACGGCGGGGCUUGAGGGCGGGAGAGGUCGGUGGAAUUCCCGGUGUAGCAGUGAAAUGCGUAGAGAUCGGGAGGAACACCAGUGGCGAAGGCGGCUACCUGGACCAGCACUGACACUGAAGCACGAAAGCGUGGGGAGCAAACAGG